rnacentral:rRNA from 1 species
UACGUAGGGUGCGAGCGUUGUCCGGAAUUACUGGGCGUAAAGAGCUCGUAGGCGGCUUGUCGCGUCGUUCGUGAAAACCCACAGCUCAACUGUGGGCUUGCGGUCGAUACGGGCAGGCUGGAGUUCGGUAGGGGAGACUGGAAUUCCUGGUGUAGCGGUGUAAUGCGCAGAUAUCAGGAGGAACACCGGUGGCGAAGGCGGGUCUCUGGGCCGAGACUGACGCUGAGGAGCGAAAGCGUGGGGAGCGAACAGG